rnacentral:lncRNA from 1 species
CCAGCUCUUCUUUGUAUGUCUGUUAGAAUUUGGCUGUGAAUUCACCGGAUCUGGGCCUUUUAUGACAUCUUCUGUAACCAGAAGCACUCCAAGAACAACACUUUCAUUCAUGGACUUAACAACUACAUUAGAUCAUACCAGCCUGUCACUUCAAAGUCACCAGUGUCAAGGAACAUUUCAAAUUGGCUUAAAGCAUUGUUUUGGAGGUGUGAAUAAUGAAGCCAAGGACAUUAGCAACAUCAUGAAAGCAGGCAUCAAGUGAAUAGAGAAGAUUCUAUGGAUGUAGAAGAGGUCCCUGGGUUUCCGAAUUGCCACUGGAUUGCCUCUAUCAAAUACACAAGAGUUUCAUGAGUGAGAAAUAACCUUCUGUUGCUUUAAAUCUUGGGUUGUGCAAUACAUCAGUGAGCCUACCAUGACUAAUACAUUCUAUGGAUGCAGAUUUCUCUUCUCUGGCCAUUGACAUGAGUGUGCUUUCUGGAUGCAGUCACAGGGGACCCAAGAUUCUUGGACAGAAUUCUCGCCGGGAGCCAACUCAGCCUGAUCUGCUGGCAUCUCUCAAGUAUCAGAAGUCAACAAAAUGGUUUGCCUUGAAGACUUGGCCAGAGCAGCAGCCAAACCUUGAAGGGCAAUAUCCUUACCAACAUGUGAUCUGAAGGAGCUCUGAACCCUCCAGUGAGACAUCAGCCCAUCAGACUCACAGAGAACAGCAGGAAGGCCAAAGACUCAAGAUUUAUCUAUCCUUGAAGUGAGCAAAAUUCCUUGUUAUUCAGUGAUGCUGAUUACAACAGGCCUCCGUUAUACGAAGGGAAAACAUCCCAGACCCCCCAGUGAAUGCCUGAAACUGGAUUCUACUGAACCCUGAGAUGGUACUAAGUGACUAACGGGUGAAUAGCGUGUACAGCAUGGAUACACUAGACAAAGGGAGGAUUCGCAUCCCGGGCUGGUCAGCAAGAGGUUUCAUCACCCCACUCAAAAUGGCAGGACCGUAUGAACCUGAAUCCAGAGAAACGGCUCAUCAGUCUCCAAUCCUCUGAUUUUCUAAACCAGGACUACAUUAUAUUAAAACCAGAAAAAGCAAUACCUCUUUUCACAGAAUGGACUUUCUGGUGGAAAUGGGAGGAACCAAAAGAAGGCUGACUUCUUCAUUUUGACACCCUGCCCUGACUGCAGAACGUGAUUUCCCUAAAAGACUGAAUGUUAACCUCAAAGCCUGGUCAACCAACAUGCAGGAGAAAUCUUGACCAAGGCUCUGAGCAUGCUGUGGUCCCAGUGGUGAGGGUGUGAUAUGCACUGUCUGUUCCUGGAGUCACAGUGCUCAUCUUGUGGUAAAGACCUCUUGGAAGAAUGUCUUCAAAGGCACAUCUCCAGCUGGGAGUCC